GACGAACGCUGGCGGCGUGCUUAACACAUGCAAGUCGUACGGUAAGGCCCUUUCGGGGGUACACGAGUGGCGAACGGGUGAGUAACACGUGCGUAACCUGCCCACAACUUUGGGAUAACGCUAGGAAACUGGUGCUAAUACUCGAUAUGUGCUCCUGUUGCAUGGUGGGGGUUGGAAAGCUCCGGCGGUGGUGGAUGGACUCGCGGGCUAUCAGCUUGUUUGUGGGGUAGUGGCCUACCAAGGCGGCGACGGGUAGCCGGCCUGGGGGGGUGACCGGCCACAUUGGGACUGAGAGUCGGCCCAGACGGCUACGGGGGGCAGCAGGGGGGAAUAUUGCACAAUGGGCGCAGCCCUGAGGCAGCAAGGCCGCGUGCGGGAUGACGGCCUUCGGGUUGUAAACCGCUUUCAGCAGGGACGAAGCUUUUUAUGACGGUACCUGCAGAAGAAGCACCGGCUAACUACGUG
rnacentral:rRNA from 1 species